AUCGCUUCUCGGCCUUUUGGCUAAGAUCAAGUGUAGUAUCUGUUCUUAUCAGUUUAAUAUUUGAUACGUCCUCUAUCAAAAUUUCGAGAAGAGCUAACACCUAUCCUACUCAAACUCUUCCAGAAAAUUGCAGAGGAAGGUAAACUUCCAAACUCAUUCUAUGAGGCCACCAUCACCCUAA
ensembl:snRNA U2 U2 spliceosomal RNA